CUCUUAGCACGUCUGCCAUCUCUUCCUGCUCUGGGUGUCACUUAGCUCUGAAAACAUAGGCAUCGGAGUGUAGCAGACUGACUCAGAGUCCUCCCAAGAUGCAGAUUCUACUGAAAUCCAAACCCAAGGGGUCUACAAAAUGGAUGGAGUCUUACUCUGUUGCCCAGGCUGGAGUUCAGUGGCACGAUCUCGGCUCAGUGCAACCUCUGCCACCUGGGUUCAAGCGAUUCUCCUGCUUCAGCCUCCUGAGUAGCUGGGAUUCCAGAUUGUACUUUCGGUGUCAUGACUAAGAACUCUUUGCUGACCCCUGGAUCCUGAAGAUUUUCUUUUAUUUUUUUCCUAAGAUUUUAUAGUUUUAUUUUUUCAUUUAAGUUACAUUCAUUUGAAUUAAUUUUUAUCUGAAAAAUACUGUUUUUCUUUCACUGUAGGCUUGUCUCUGUAUAAAUUCAAUUUGAAAAUAUGGCAAUAUGUAUCUUUGAUUUUCAAAUGAACAAGCUCAUAAAUACAAAAAUUAAAGGCAUAACAAGAAAAUAA
ensembl:lncRNA LINC02712 long intergenic non-protein coding RNA 2712